AGUCACACUGCACGUACGCCCAGUGCAGCCGUAUCGUUUCUACCUUUGUCAGGCUGUGGUUGGCAACGCAUCAACUUGAUUUGGAAUUGUAAAAAAAUAGCUUAGUAGUAUAACGCCGACCGGUGCUGUAACCGUCUGUGUACCACCGGUGCCGAUAGUACACUCUAAUCGGUGCGGCAACCGUCCGUGUAGCACCGCUCCUUUCUAAUAUUCGCAUCAUAUCAUUAGCGGCUAUUCUGUAAUAUUCCAAUUAUUGUAAUAAAACAAUAUGCAACGUUGUACGAAAGGGUCUGGUACGUUAUUUAAAUAGUACACUAGUUAAUUGAAGCCAUCCAUCCAAAGCAUUGGAACUUCAACGAAUCUUGUGGGACACACAAAAUAAUAACAGGUGAUAAAACAAACAUAUAAUUUUAUGAUUUUCCCAGCAGAGACCUGUGUAGAUUCAGGAAAAUUCACCAACUUCAACAAUGGAGAAGAAGCCAAGGUUUUUCAAGAAAAUUAUAUACGUAGUUUUGUUUCCGUGGUACAGGAUUAGUCGAAGAAAUUAUGCUUGAUCAACGUACAGUUACAUCAAACCGGUACAUCACAAAAUGAUUCCCCGUUUUUGUUGAGUCAGUCAAUAUUCGUAAGCUGCAGUUGCAUUACUAUAAUAAAUCGUCACACACUGCACAGCAAACAAUUCAACAAUUCACUGGUCGACAUAGUAUUGGUAGCUAAAUGGAAUUUGUUUUCAAAGCAAAGCGAGUAAUUAUCCAGUAUGAACGUGCUAUAGAUAUAGUUUAGAAUAAACUCAGCAGGAUUUUUUAGUAACGUAUACUUAUUGAGCGCUGUAAAUUUAAAAAAUCCGGUCUUCCAGUUGUAAACUUCUCGCAGUUCUUAAUAUUCUAAUAACAUUAGUUGAUAUCUUUAAAGUUCUUUUCACUUGUGAUUGAAAGUAAAGCUUAAUGAACGAUUUCAUCAUUAGUAAACGCAGGCAUCGUUGAUAAAUGGAUUUUAAAGUUUGAUACAGUAAUUACCCAUAUUCCAAGGAAACAUUAGAGAGUAACAUCAGAAGAUAGUUCGAUUAAUUUUCACGUACUAUAAAAAGUUCAACACCCUGUAAUGUAUCAACGACACGACUUAUCAAACACCAAAACUAUUUGUCUUAAAAAUUAUCAGUACCUUCAAAUUAUUUUGGGAAAACCCUCUAUUUCUAUUCUUCUAAUAAUAUAAGUUGAUGUCUCAAAAGUUCUCGUUACUUGUAAACGAGAGUGGAACUUAGUAAACGUUUCGUAAUAUGAAAAAAAAAAUUAUUAUUCGAAUGACAUCACCUCUUUAUUUUUGAAAAAUAUUUGACCACCGAGCCAUUUUUUCAAGUCUGGGAACAGAAAAUAAUCCGAGAGGGUGAAAUCUAGUGUAUAGGGUGUAUGAGGUAUCAAUUCAAACUUUGAUUCAUUAAUUUUAGCCAUUGCGAUAACGUACGUGUGAGCUGAUGCACUGCUAGAUUUCUUCGCCCAAAAACUAAAUUCGCACAAUACUCGCCGUUGAUAUUUUUUCCUUUUUCAAUGUCGUCAAUGAAAAUUAUUCCACGCGCAUCCCAAAAAAACGACGCCAUAACCCUUCCUGCAAAUGGAACGAUCUUUACCUUCUUUGGAACCUGUUCUCCCUUUUUAGUCCAUUGUUUUGAUUGUUCUUUUGUUUCGGGUAUGAAGCGAUGAGCGCACGUUUCAUCCAUGGUUAUUAAACGGUGCAAAAAUUGGGCUUUAUUUCUGUAAAACAUUCCCAAGCACUCGAUGGAAACAUUUUCUCACCGCUGUUUUUGUUCCAUUGUGAGCAAACGCGGCACUCAUCUUGCGAACAGCUUUCUCAAGUCCAAAUUUUUAGUUAAUAUGUUAAUAUAUUAUGUCUGCUAGUUUACACACUUUCAAUUGAUGAUAUUUCAGUACCGCUUUGUGGAUUUUCUUCAACAUUUCUGUUGUCAUAUCCUCAUUUGGUCACUGCGAUGCUGGUCUUCGCAGGUCGCCUCAUUUAAACUCUGCUACUCAAUAUUUUAUUGUUGAUAACAAAGGAGCAGUCUCAUCCAGAGUAGAAUCUAGUUCAUCUUUCAUAUUUGUUGGGCCAAUGCCAAAUAAAAGUAUCGUAUCACACAAUGAUGACCAAUUUUUUCAACAAUUUCAAUGAAAACGUUCACUAUUGAUGGCUGCCAAACAAAUAAUAAACAACAUGGCUUCUUCAAAAUUGAAACGUAUGCUGUAUAUAUUGUGUACUUUCUACAGUGAUAUUUUUCAAGCAAAUCUUUAGGUCAGGCUAGGUACUUCUGGGACUAUCCUCGUAUCCUAUAGAAUAACUGCUGACUCUUCUUCUUUUUUAUUGCAUUUUCCAUGCCCGUAACUCGGAAUUUAACAUUUUAUUCAUCACAAGCAAAACAAUCCUUAUUAUUAAUGUCUGAUGCAUUGGAUUAUUUAGGGUCAUGUAUUGAACUCAUGGAAAUCAUCAUCGAAAUAAUUUUUAGCGAAAAACGGCUGAAUAUGCUUCAAAAACUUUGGAAAUGAAACCGUUUCAUUUAUAUUAUAUUUCUUUGUUUUAUUACUAUUCAAAUAUGGGUAAUUGUAAAAAAAAACGACCCUUACUUUUCAAACGAUCUGGGAUUUCUUGUUGAAACAAACCUAAAAUUUCAAAUUAAUUUCAACACUUGGAAUUUUAGAGUUGUUGCUUGGUAAAUAAUUAUAUUAUUCAAUUGUCUAGUUAUAAAUAUAAUUUAUGACAGGAAAAAGAUAAAAUUGAUUUUAUUCAUAUGUUGCAACUAAUUAAAUUUUGAUUGCUCCGUUCACUUUCAAGGAUGUCAAUUUGUUAAUAUAGUUAAAUAACCAAUUUAUUAUGUCUCAACACACAACAUUUAAAAUGAAGAUUAAAUGGAAUGAGAAGAAAGAAUACAAUAACUUAUUUCAUAGCUUCUUUAUAUUCCAGAGCAAAGUGAAAAGACGCUUGACAUAUGACAUCUCCGCUCAAAGAGUCUUAUAAGUCAAACAACAAAGUAUCGAGUGAUAAGCAUUUGAAAUUAAUUUAACCUUCAUUUUUCACUUUUCGUAUCAACUGAAAAAUUGACGAAGAUACAAUAGUUACAAUAGUAACUAUUUACAUGACAAGUUUUUUAGCAACAAUGCUACAAUAAAAAAGAUUUUCUAGUUUUUCGACUUAUGACACUAUUAGAGCGCAGGUGGGAUAUAUGACAAACAUGUUUGUCCUGUAAAGUGUAUGUAUACAAUAAAUAAUAGACUGAUGUGAAAACUCAAA